rnacentral:rRNA from 1 species
AGCGAACGCUGGCGGCAGGCUUAACACAUGCAAGUCGAGCGGGCAUCCUUGUGGUGUCAGCGGCAGACGGGUGAGUAACGCGUGGGAACGUGCCCUUCGGUUUGGAAUAACUCAGGGAAACUUGAGCUAAUACCGGAUACGUGCGAGAGCAGAAAGGUUUAUCUGCCGAAGGAUCGGCCCGCGUCUGAUUAGCUAGUUGGUGAGGUUACGGCUCACCAAGGCGACGAUCAGUAGCUGGUCUGAGAGGAUGAUCAGCCACACUGGGACUGAGACACGGCCCAGACUCCUACGGGAGGCAGCAGUGGGGAAUAUUGGACAAUGGGGGCAACCCUGAUCCAGCCAUGCCGCGUGAGUGAUGACGGCCUUAGGGUUGUAAAGCUCUUUUCUCCGGGACGAUAAUGACGGUACCGGAGGAAUAAGCCCCGGCUAACUUCGUG